rnacentral:rRNA from 1 species
CCUACGGGAGGCAGCAGUGAGGAAUAUUGGUCAAUGGGCGUAAGCCUGAACCAGCCAAGUCGCGUGAGGGAUGAAGGUUCUAUGGAUCGUAAACCUCUUUUAUAAGGGAAUAAAGUGCGGGACGUGUCCCGUUUUGUAUGUACCUUAUGAAUAAGGAUCGGCUAACUCCGUGCCAGCAGCCGCGGUAAUACGGAGGAUCCGAGCGUUAUCCGGAUUUAUUGGGUUUAAAGGGUGCGUAGGCGGCCUUUUAAGUCAGCGGUGAAAGUCUGUGGCUCAACCAUAGAAUUGCCGUUGAAACUGGGAGGCUUGAGUAUGUUUGAGGCAGGCGGAAUGCGUGGUGUAGCGGUGAAAUGCAUAGAUAUUACACAGAACACCGAUUGCGAAGGCAUCUCACGAAUCCGCGAUUGACGCUGAUGCACGAAAGCGUGGGUAUCAAACAGGAUUAGAUACCCGAGUAGUC